rnacentral:rRNA from 1 species
ACUACGCUGGCGGCGUGCCUAAUACAUGCAAGUCGAACGGGAUUCUUUGAUCAGCUUGCUGAGAGAAGGAUCUAGUGGCGGACGGGUGAGUAACGCGUGGGAAUCUGCCUCUUACUGGGGGAUAACAGUGGGAAACUACUGCUAAUACCGCAUAAGAUCUUCGGAUGAAAGGUGCAACUGCACCGGUAAGAGAUGAGCCCGCGUCCCAUUAGCUAGUUGGUGAGGUAAAGGCUCACCAAGGCGACGAUGGGUAGCCGGCCUGAGAGGGUGAACGGCCACACUGGGACUGAGACACGGCCCAGACUCCUACGGGAGGCAGCAGUAGGGAAUCUUCCGCAAUGGGCGCAAGCCUGACGGAGCGACGCCGCGUGAGUGAUGAAGGCCUUCGGGUCGUAAAGCUCUGUUCUUGAGGACGAAUAAGCCAGGGAGUGGAAAGCCCUGGUGAUGACUGUACUCAAGGAGAAAGCUCCGGCUAACUACGUG